GGCUGAUAGGAUUGGUUGACUGAUCUGAUGAAUCCAUAGAAGAGAGAAAAAAAAAGAAAGCAAGAAAAAGGAUCAAGAAGCUAGGCAAGAAUCAUCAAGAACCUGGACAGCGGAAGCUCUUUGCUCUUGAUACCAUAAUAGAAUUGGCCCAAAUAUAUGAGACCGGCCCAAUACUCUUUCCAAACCCAAAGACAAAAUAAAGAAAGCAAAUGUCUGUGAGGCUUUUGCGAGAAGCUUCUUGUGUCAGAGAGGUAGGUGGGAGAUGAGACCGAGAAGCACAAGUGAGAAAGAAGGAGAGCUCCUAAAUGACUCCAUGGCAUUUCUGCAGACGAACAUCAAGGGUUCGUUUCCUUCAGGCGAUGAAGAAGCAAAGUAGAAGGAGAUAAAGAGAAGACCAAGAGGAGCGCGGGUCUGAGGUUAGUGUUUGACAAACAUUUUGUAGAAGAUAGAAAACUGUGUUGUAUUACUGUGUGUAUCGUCUUACAAGAGAAAAAUAAGAAAGGAGGAACUCUAUAGAGUUCCUUAAC
rnacentral:lncRNA from 1 species